GCAUCGUAGCACACUGUAGUAGGCUUGAUCAAUAUCAAAAUAAAAUUUCAAUAAAUUAGGUCUCUACUGGAUUACUGUGGUGCAAAAUGACAUGCAGUUAAUGAAAAUUGAUGCUGCGGGACAGGCUGUUUUGCCAUCAAUUAUCUAUGGAGUUCAGGUCAGGCGAUUUGGAUGGCCAACUAAGCAUAGUAACAUCGUGGUCAGCAAACCAGUUACUCGUGCUUUUGACCCUGUGGGCAGGUGCCAAGUCCUGCUGGAAAAGGAAACCAGCAUCUCCAUAAAGCUUGUCAGCAGAUUGAAGCAUGAAGUGCUCAAAAAUCUCCUGGUAGACGCUGCAUUGAUUCAGGACUGGAGACAACAAAGUGGACCAACAUGGCCCCCCAAAACAUCACAGACUGUGGAAACUUCACACUGAACUUCUAACAACGGUCCAGUUCAUUUUCUCCUUUGCCCCUAGUGCAACGCUGGUAGCUCAUUUCCUGGACAUGUUGAUGCUGCUACUCUACUUUUAUUUAUUUAUUUUUUUACAGUAUACAGAUUUUCUGAGAUGGACCUGUAUAUGUUCUUGUUCAUGUAUCAUCAUGGAUAAGACACGUGCCUUUGUCUUAGAGGCCCGGGUUCAAGUCCCCACUGUGACACAUCCACCAAUGUGUCCCUGAGCAAGACACUUAACACCUAGUUCCUCCAGAGGUGUGCGACCUCUGACAUACUAUAUAGCAAUUGUAAGUCACUUUGGAUAAAAGCAUCAGCUAAAUGAGUAAACAUAAUAUCACUUACUACUGUACUUGACAUACUUAACAUUUAUAUAUCCAUGUAAUCACAGCACU